UUCCGUGUUCAUCAUCUUAGUUUAGUACAGCAUUUCCCAAACUUAGGCUCAAGACCCACCCGUUUACCCCCCACCCCUCUCUCUUCUUGCCAUCCUGGACCUGAAAAUGUGUUUGCACUCUCUGGUGUAGGCUGGGUUGAGGUUACAUUGAGUGUGACUUCUGUGAUUCCCUCACUCUCAGUUGUGUGCAUGGUCAAAGCAAAACAUACAAGAAAGAGUUUAUUAAUGUUGGCUUCACCAGAGCCAUUGGAAAGGAAGGAGAUGCUCAGUCAUUAAAAGAGAGAUUAAAAAUGAACAAAUUGGUCAGACAUCUCCAAAUGAAGCAUUCUCAGCAUCGGGACAAGUCGAAAGAUUUUUCCUGUGCAAAGAAGAGACUUUCAGGAGACAGUGUUUUGACAGCGGAAAAGCAUUCAAAGGGAACAAAGCAGCACUGAAGGCAUCAUACCAAGUCAGCCUCCACAUUGCCAAGGCACAGAAGCCCCAUUGGGGAGCAGCUGAUAAAGCUGUGUUUAAAAGAUGUGUGUCUCUUUCUCUCUUGGGUGAAAAAGCAGUGAAUAAAGUUGAGUCUGUCCCACUCUCAAAUAACAGUGUUGCAAACAGAAUCAAGGACAUGGCAGCGGGCAUUCAAAAGUCAGUUACAGAGGAAAUAUUGGAACACAAAAUAUUUUCACUGCAGUAACUUUUGAUCUGAGAGUCUGUUGAUGUUGCUGGUAGUCCCCAGUUAACGGUCUUCGCCAGAUACAUCAGUGGUAAGGAUAUCAAGUUCCUCCUCUGUAACUGGCUGCACACAACAACAAUGGGACAGGAUAUUUUCAGAGUGAUGGACACAAAUUUGAAAGACCUGAAAUGGGAAUGGAUUAACUGUAUUGGAAUUUGCACCAAUGGCACCAGGAGCAUGACUGGGUGCAGGUCUGGUUUUGUGGCUCAUGUUCAUAUUGGUCCCAAAUAUGAAGCUGACACAUUUUAUCAUCGACAGGGAAACUUUGGCCUGCACAGAGCUAUGCAGGGAAAUGGGGGCAGAGCAUGAGCACCUGCUUUUUCACUGUGAGGUGAGAUGGCUCUCCAGGGGAAGAGCUCUGCAGAGAGUGUGGGAGCUGAGAGAAGAGGUCAUGGCCUAUCUCAAGAAAGAAGACCCUCACCUUGUCAAUCAUUUUCAGAACAAGCUGUGGCUGGCAAGAUUUGUCUACCUUGUGGACAUUUUCAACGAGCUCAACACACUGAACACAAGCCUUCAAGGAAAGGAGAGCAGCACUUUGGAGCUUGAAGAUGGAAUUCAAGUAUUCACUGCACUCUGUGGCAGUCCCAGUCCCAGCAGUCCUAGCUGGGUGCAGGAGAACUGGCAGUAUUUCCUGUCUUCCCCGCCUACCAAGAGAACAUGGGUGUUCCCCUGAGUGACUCUGUGAAGCAGAACAUACGGUAGUUGAGCACAUGUCUGGCCUACAGGAGAACUUUGAGGGGUACUUCCCUGACUCACAGGGAUCUCACAACCUUCAGUAGGUGAAGUAUUCCCUCCAAGCUGUGCCAUCACUAGAGCUGAGUCUAAGUCAGACAGAGUUAGAGGCACUGGUCACACUGCAGGUCAACAAUGGCAGUAAGAUGCUGUCUGAGACAAUCACCCUCUCACAGUUUUGGAUUGCUCAUCUCCAGCAGGAAGAGUUCUCAUGCUUGGCUAGGAAAGCUGUAGAUGUGUUGGCACCACAUACUUAAAAAACAAAUACAGAAACAGACUAAAUGCUCAGUAUGACCUCAGAAUAGCACUUUCAAAAACAAAGACCAGAAUAAAUCUGCUGGUUGAAAACUUCAACCAGCCACAUACCUGUCAUUAGAUUUCAUUGUGCUAUAGAUGAAAUAUUAUACCCCUUCUAGCAUGUCAGGUCAGUAUAAUUUUAAAAUAAGUCAGUAAAAAUUAAUCAGAAUAUUGCACCUUGGGAUUUAAGGCUGAGGGACGGAAGGACAGGGUAAGAAAUAAAGAGUUGAGAAGGGGGUGAGAAAUAAAAAGGAGAGUAGAACAUGUUUGUUCAUUUAAAAGUGUUACAAACUUGUAUGUACAUAUUCUAUGAGGUGAUGAGAAACUUACACUCAGCAAAUUAGAUUAUUGCUGUCACGUACUUUUAUAAUGAAAUAAAUACAUUUCAUAUACAUUUUAAA